rnacentral:misc_RNA from 1 species
GAUACUUCACCACUUAAAAUAUCUAUAGAAAGUAUUGCAUCCUUGCUACGCCAUAUAGACGUUGUUAUAAGAGUGUGUCCAUCGGAAAGCCAUGGAUUAGCCAGGAAACCGUGUGAAUAGAGGCCAGGAAAGAGGCCGUCCUCAGCCCAUUGCACCACAGGAACCACAUCGACAAUAUUUUCACUAAAACUAGGUUUUCCAUCUCUAGGCCAG